GGAAUUGUUCGCAAUGGGCGCAAGCCUGACGACGCAACGCCGCGUGGAGGAUGAAGGUCUUCGGAUUGUAAACUCCUGUUGCCCGGGACGACUAGCCCCAACCUAAUACGUUGGAGUGUGACGGUACCGGGUGAGGAAGCCCCGGCUAACUCUGUGCACGCAGCCGCGGUAAUACAGAGGGGGCAAGCGUUGUUCGGAAUUCCUGGGCGUAAAGGGCGCGUAGGCGGCCUGCUAAGUCGAACGUGAAAUCCCCGGGCUCAACCCGGGAACUGCGUCCGAGACUGGCAGGCUCGAAUCCGGGAGAGGGAUGUGGAAUUCCAGGUGUAGCGGUGAAAUGCGUAGAUAUCUGGAGGAACAUCGGUGGCGAAGGCGGCAUCCUGGACCGGUAUUGACGCUGAGGCGCGAAAGCGUGGGGAGCAA
rnacentral:rRNA from 1 species